rnacentral:misc_RNA from 1 species
GAUGAAGAACGUAGCGAAAUGCGAUAAGUAAUGUGAAUUGCAGAAUUCAGUGAAUCAUCGAAUCUUUGAACGCACAUUGCGCCCGCCAGUAUUCUGGCGGGCAUGCCUGUCUGAGCGUCAUUUCAACCCUCAUGCCCCUAGGGCGUGGUGUUGGGGAUCGGCCAAAGCCCGCGAGGGACGGCCGGCCCCUAAAUCUAGUGGCGGACCCGUCGUGGCCUCCUCUGCGAAGUAGUGAUAUUCCGCAUCGGAGAGCGAUGAGCCCCUGCCGUUAAACCCCCAACUUUCCAAGGUUGACCUCAGAUCAGGUAGGACUACCCGCUGAACUUAAGCAUAUCAAUAAGCGGAGGA